CAAUAGCGUAUAUUUAAGUUGUUGCAGUUAAAAAGCUCGUAGUCGGAUUUUGGCUGAGAACGAACGGUCCGCCGUUAGGUGUGCACUGUUUGGUCUCAGCUUCCUGGUGAGGAGGUGUGCUUCACGGCCACUUAGUCACCGUGGUUACUUUGAAAAAAUUAGAGUGUUCAAAGCGGGCUUACGCUUGAAUAUAUUAGCAUGGAAUAACACCAUAGGACUCCUGUCCUAUUUCGUUGGUCUCGGGACGGGAGUAAUGAUUAAGAGGAACAGUUGGGGGCAUUCGUACUCCGACGUUAGAGGUGAAAUUCUUGGAUCGUCGGAUGACGCACUACUGCGAAAGCAUUUGCCAAGAAUGUUUUCAUUAA
rnacentral:rRNA from 1 species